UCCACUGAUAGUACUGUGGAAUAUUGGGUUGGACGGAUUUAAAGUAGAACGUGGGAGACCAGACAGAAGUCUACAGCAAAAGGCCAGGCAAAAACUUGAUGAGAGCCUAGAAUACAGAAGUGGCAAAAAAGAAAACUUCAAAUGUCACAGUACAAAUCCUAUUGUUCACUAUCCUGGGUCCCAUCCCAGGCAACGUGCAUACUAUAUAUAUUCCCAGCUUCUGGACACAGAACACAGUGAUCCCUCAAUUAGUGGAUACUUGUGAUAUGAAAGAACUGAGGAUUUGGGAGGAAUGCAGAGGAGUAACAUUGGUCACUGGCAGAGAUGGGGUCUCUGUUACACAAGCUGGGCUCAAGUGACCCUCCUGCCUCAACCUCCUGAGUAGCUGGAACUACAUGCAUGUGCCAUCUGUUUUAUCUGGCUAAAGUACAAUUUUUCAAUGUGGAAUAGAACACAUUUACUAA
rnacentral:lncRNA from 10 species